GGUUGUAUAGUGUAGCGGUCAUCACCCCAGAUUCUGAUUCCUUCAGAACAUUCUGGUAACCCCGGUUCGAUUCCGGGUACGACCU